rnacentral:rRNA from 1 species
GGCGGGAGCCCCGACAAGAGUUUUCUGUUCUUGUUAACAAGUGCACCGACCCUGGAAUCGGAUUGACCGGAGAUAGGGUUGGAGGCUUGGGAAAGGCGGUUAGUUUUGGACCGUUUCGGUGCGCUCUCGACGUUCCGUGAAAACCCAGCGGCGUGACUUAUUCGCACCCCUGGUCGUACUCAUCACCGCAUCAGGUCUCCAAGGUUAGCAGCCUCUAGUCGAUAGAAGAAUGUAGAUAAGGGAAGUCGGCAAACUAGAUCCGUAACUUCGGGAAAAGGAUUGGCUCUGAGGGUUGGGCCUAGGGGUCUCUUGGUUAAUAUUGCGGCUGCUAGACGG